CAAUUUCUGCAUGUUCCUGUGUCUUCUUUGUUUUAAACGUCUCCGAAGCUUCAGAUCAAUUUUUAGAUCAUCUUCCUCUUUAACCUGGAAGAGAGAGAAGUAAAAAAAUUGUCAUAAGUUGAAUCGACAACCCAGUGAUAACACCAGAAGUUACCUCUCAUCAGCAGAGAAUUCGAAGAAACAAAUGGUCAUUUAAAGGGUGCUUAAAAGAAAAAGAAAUAGUGUGGUGAAAAGGAAGGGGGGAAAAGGUGCAAUGAACACUUCAUCCGGCUCCAUGUCUUCAAGAAAUGAAGUAUUAAUGUCAAAGAAAAGAACUAGAAUAUACCAUUCACAGACCUUCUUAUACUUCCUCUUUUGCUCUUCAGAAAGAUUUAGCUCUCUUUCAUUUGCAAUGGCAUCUGCAACAAAUGGAUCAACAGAACUGUCUUCAAUAUCAUCAAUCUCCUCAACCU
rnacentral:lncRNA from 1 species